CUAAACUAAAAUGAAUUCAGAGCUCUUAUGGAAUGCAGUUCCUCUGCAGUGCUCACCAUAAAUACUGGUGAAAGUGUAUCUCAAUUUGUGAAGUCAUUCAACAGUCCAGUUCCGCACUCUCUAUCAUCAAACUGACACAACAGUAACAAGAAAAGCAAGAAUAUGAAAACAAAUAGCCCACUUCUGAAGGAAGAAAAUUUGCAAUCCAGAGGCAAAGGCAAUUCGGCAGCCAAGAGCUGCAGUGAAUCACAGGGAGCUAAUAGUCACAUCUACUAAUGCUCCCCCACAACACCUUCAAGCAAAUGGAUUUCACUCACAUAUUAAUCAGUCAAAUCAGCAAUGAUCCCAGAUGGAUAGAAAUGUUUGUUAAGCAAACUCUAAUUUGCGAUUUAUUUAUUCAUGAAGUGACUUAAAGCUGGGUUUGCUAGAAGAAUUACUAUGCUUAUGAAGCAUGCUGACAGUCCUGGUUUAUCCUGGUAAUUUUUCCUGCAGCUCACAGCAUGGCUGACAGUCAUCUGCCAGGACUUUUAUAUAUUAACCAUUAAAUCAUGCAACCAUAUUUACCUCCAAAAGAUGUAGCAAAAAAAAAAAAUCAGUCUCCUCCAGUUUCCAUAGCCCAUGCAGUGUUAGUUAAUUCGAAGGAAGAGUCCUAUAGCUUGCCGAGGCCAGCAGUGUGCAUCUCCUACACUUGACCUAGCCCGCCUUACAUAAUGAGGAGUCCGUGCUGGAUCCUGUGCGGUACAGCUAGCUGAAUGUCAUCACUGGCAAGAAAAGGGGGUAUUGGCAGCAGCUAAGCAGGCAGGAAGGCUGGUACUCUGCAGGAGAUCACGGACUCCUUUUUUCCAAUUCACUGUUCUGGGAGGAGCGUUCAGAAGAGCAACCUCGAGAAGCAGUUCUACUUCUAGUCCGAAUUACCGGAAACAACAAAAGAAGGAGCAGAGUACUGGUUCAGACCCACAGACUUCUGCGGCUGCACGGUUUUAUCGACAUUUAACUCCUUGUGAUGAGGAACUGAGACAAAUCGGGUUAGAAGACUUGCUCAGGUUCACACAGCUAGUAAGUGUCUGA
rnacentral:lncRNA from 1 species